CUGGUCGAGCGCGCCCACAGGCCCGUUUCCCACACAGCCGUCCACCUCUGCAUCGUCACCUUCGUCAUGGGGGCUAGCAUCCACCUGGUGGGAGACUCCAUCAACCACCGGCUCAUCCUGAGCGGCUACCAGCUCCACCUGUCAGUCAGAGAAAACCCCAUCAUCAAGGACCUCAAACCGGCUUCGCUGAUUGAUUCAUUUGAGCUGCUGUAUUAUUAUGAUGAACACCUGGGACACUUGAUGUGGUAUAUUCCAUUCUUCAUCAUUCUGUUAAUCUACUUCAGCGGCUGCUUCUCCGGCUCGGAGGAUCAGAAGAAGAUCCCCGUCUCAGGUUGGCUGUUACUGGGUCCCAGCUCUCUCUACUACUGGUACUUGGUCACAGAGGGACAAAUCACCGAACUCUUCCUCCUUACGUUCCUCGCCAUGCUUGCCAUGAUGGUUUUUCAACGCCGCAGAGGCCUCGGCCCAGACAGCAACGGCUCUUUUCUUUUUUAUAGCUUCAGCGUUACUGUGCUGCUGGUGUCUCUGUGGGUGGCCUACCUGUGGAACGACCCGGUGCUGCGCAACAAGUACCCCGGACUGUUUUAUGUUCCUGAGCCCUGGUCCUACUACACCUUACACAUAAGGAAGAGCCACUGAAGCAAACGUUCAAAUUGUAAACAUAAUUGUUUAUUAUUAUUAUUAUUAUUAUUAUUAUUAUUAUUAUUAUUUCUGAAGCGCAGUUGUUGGUGCAGUGAUUAAAAUCUACUCCCAGCCAGUAAUCAGGUAAUCUCUGAAACCUGUUGGGCACCAGCUUCUCAUUACAUGGGACUUUAGGUUAUGAGAAACAAAUGCUUGCCAGGAGAAAAUGUUUUUGAUACGUAAAAAUUUUUAAAAUGUUUUUUUUUUUAGGAUUGUUUUGUGUUUGCUUUAUUGAAGUUAAAAGGAUGACCUCCACUAUAUUUACUUAUUAAAGGCAAAAGUAGGUUUUCUGCCCCUUUUCUCAUCAAGCAGCAUCAAGCACCCAUCAUCACAGUUGGUUACCUUCCUCCCCACAGACAAAUCUGUAACAUCAGAAUUUAUUUUUGUGAGGUGUGCCUUGAGAACAAUGUCAACUCAUGUUUUAAAUAAAUGUAUGCAAUAAGCUUUUGACUAAGGACUGUCAGCCUUCCAUGUGUUGGAAUCAGCAUUAACUAAACCAGGAGACAAAGCCGUAGCCCCAGUCCAGUCCAACUAUUCUCUUACUAAAUGCUGUGAAAUAAAUCUUCUACCAACUCCGAUGAAA